GGAUACCCGAGGGAAACUUCGGUUAAUACGGUAUAAGACCACACUACCGCAUGGUAGAGGGGUAAAAGGGGCAACCUGGUAUGAGAUGGACUCGCGUCGCAUUAGCUAGUUGGUGAGGUAACGGCCCACCAAGGCGACGAUGCGUAGCCGACCUGAGAGGGUGAUCGGCCACAUUGGGACUGAGAUACGGCCCAGACUCCUACGGGAGGCAGCAGUGGGGAAUAUUGGGCAAUGGAGGAAACUCUGACCCAGCAAUGCCGCGUGAAUGAAGAAGGUCUUCGGAUUGUAAAGUUCUUUAGUCAGGGAAGAAGUCAAUGACGGUACCUGAAGAAUAAGCUCCGGCUAACUACGUGCCAGCAGCCGCGGUAAUACGUAGGGAGCAAGCGUUGUUCGGAAUGACUGGGCGUAAAGGGUGCGUAGGCGGUUGUACAAGUUAGAAGUGAAAUACCCAGGGCUUAACUCGGGUGCUGCUUCUAAAACUGUAUGACUUGAGUGCAGUAGAGGUUAGUGGAAUUCCUAGUGUAACGGUGGAAUGCGUAGAUAUUAGGAGGAACACCAGAGGCGAAGGCGGCUAACUGGACUGCAACUGACGCUGAGGCACGAAAGUGUGGGGAGCAAACAGGAUUAGAUACCCUGGUAGUCCACACUGUAAACGAUCCAUAAUGGAUGUAGGAGGUAUCGACUCCUUCUGCGUCGCA
rnacentral:rRNA from 1 species